rnacentral:sRNA from 1 species
AAGGUUAAAGAUGUUGUUCUGCCAAUGUUAUGCCGCUGCACCCUCAACUUACGUUAUCCCAACUUGUGACUGUUAUUCGGCGCUCCACGGAGCGCCUUUUUUU